rnacentral:rRNA from 1 species
GACGAACGCUGGCGGCGCGCCUAACACAUGCAAGUCGAACGAGCGAGAGAGAGCUUGCUUUCUCGAGCGAGUGGCGAACGGGUGAGUAACGCGUGAGGAACCUGCCUCAAAGAGGGGGACAACAGUUGGAAACGACUGCUAAUACCGCAUAAGCUCACGACCCGGCAUCGGGUAGAGGGAAAAGGAGCAAUCGGCUUUGAGAUGGCCUCGCUUCCGAUUAGCUAGGUGGUGAGGUAACGGCCCACCAAGGCGACGAUCGGUAGCCGGACUGAGAGGUUGAACGGCCACAUUGGGACUGAGACGCGGCCCAGAAUCCUACGGGAGGCAGCAGAGGGGAAUAUUGCACAAUGGGGGAAACCCUGAUGCAGCGACGCCGCGUAGAGGAAGAAGGUCUUCGGAUUGUAAACUCCUGUUGUAGAGGAAGAUAAUGACGGUACUCAACAAGGAAGUGACGGCUAACUACGUG